rnacentral:lncRNA from 1 species
UAUUAUACGAAUAUUUUACACCAUUGAACAGCAUCAUCUAUUGUUAAAUGUAUUACUGUAACACUAUACACACACAUGUACAAAGAACUUUGAAAGUCUCCACAUCAAUCUAAUUUGGUCCACACAUGAAAAGAGAGAGAGAGAGAGAGAGACAGCAAAGUGGGAGGCUCAAAACAUUAGUUCUGAGAGGCAAUGUUGCUAUCAAGCCACCUAAUGUGAAGGGAAAGACAGAUGAUGAACAACUAGAUAGCGACUCUUUUCUGCCUUCUCUUUGUGCCCAAUUCCAAAACCAGACAAUUAUCAUCAAACGAUGCCGCUGCAAGAACACAGCAGUAUAUAUGUAGAUCAAGUUACAGAGAGACAGAUUAGGAAGAUGACGCAAUGUUAAGAUUACAAACCAGACAAACCAAAAGCUUGUUUAAAUAGUGUUGCUGAUUGAGAAUUAGGGUUUCUUAAGAUGGUGACUUUCGUUGGACAUGUGCAACAUCACAUGCCUUUUAAGUUUCAAAAUGAGUGAAGGCAUCCGAAUCCGAUACUAUUAGAUACCUAACAUUUAAUGACACUUGUUCAAUUCCUAGAAUGUCUUCGUAGUGAUUUCAUGAUCACUGUCCAUCAGUGGCGAAGCCAGCAUCAUUUUUUUGGGUGGGCUAUAUUUUUUUUUAAAAUAAAAUUUACUUCUCAAAAAAUUUGUUUAAUACAAACAAAAUUAAACACAUUACAUAAGUAAAAAUCUAACCAUAAAACUAUAAAAAUACAAUGUAAAUAAGAAAAAUAUUACCAAAUAUUAGAUUUGUUUUUAUUUUUUAUAAAUAUUAAUAAAGUAAAUUUAUAAAUUAUAAUUAUUUUUUUUUUCAAAAAGCUAACCCGGGCUGUAGCCUAGGUUAGCCCACCUUUAACUUCACCUCUGCUGUCCAUUCAAAUUUUUGUGGGUGCCAUUGAUUUUUAUAAUGGCCAAUGAAAAAAAAAUGCAUUUUGUAUAUACUCGCUAAUUCAAUAAAAUCAGUAUUUUUUUUUCAACUUAAAAAUUACCAACCAUAGAAAAAGAAAAUGAAUGCAUGGCAAAAUAAUGAAUUGGUGAAGUGGGGUCAAGAUAUCUUUUAAACCCUAAUGACCAUGGUGGAAAAUUAAAAAAAAAAAUUUACAACUAAUUUUUGAAAGAAAUGUGGUAAAAACAUAAUGUGUGCGUGUGUUGGGGGGGGGGAAUUGGCCGACCAUUAACUGUGUUGCGUUAUUGAAUUAGACAAUUACUCCACAAAAUUAACAAAAAGUACGGCCAAAAGUGGACGUUAUCAUUGACUUGUAACUUGUGUUAAUGUAAAAGUCGGAAAAGAAUCAACAAUUCAACAAGUUCUUAUUACAGAGUCAAAAUUCAUCAGAAUAUGAUGACAUAUUUGAGCAAAUAGAAGAAGCUUUUAGUUAUUAUUAUGAAGAAAAAUGGUAGUUUAUCUAAAGCCUAUGAAACGUCGCGUUUAGGAUGUUACCACAUCAUGGGGCAAAAGAAACAGCAAGUUGGGGUUCACAUCAGAUAAAAUAGUGCUUAAUUUAUGAUGGGCAUAUAAAGUGGUUCAGUUGCAUUGAAGUAGUAAUUGAUAGCUAAAAUGGUCCCCUUUCCAGCCCACAACCUCUGUGAAUAUGACUUUAAUGGCAAAUAAAGAGAGUUCACAAUUGCAAGAAUAAUGAAUGAAAGAGGUAUAGCAAUUGUUGUUUCUUUCUUAUUUAUCGUCUUCUUAGGGUUUAUAAAAUAUAUUAAAAAAAGGAUAUAUGUAUCAAAUUAUUAGGUACACACGUAUGAAGAUACUAGAUAGAUAGUACUAUAAUUAAACGAUGGUGUCUAGUCUUAAAUUUAAAAUUUAAAAUUUAAAAUUCAGUCUUUCUGAGUUUUAAUAAGUGUCUUAGGGUUUAUAAAAAAAAUAAUUAAAAAGUAGUAAACAUAUAUAUCUACAUAUAAAAUACAGAUUUAAAAUUAGACGCCAUCAUCUACUGAUGAUUUGAUAUUAUAUUAUAAUUGGAUAAUAUUAUUUAAAACGUGUAGAGAUCUCAUCUGUACUAGGGCACGAACUAUGUUAGAAAAAUAAAAGGAAAACUUAAAUGGCAUAUUUGGGUGAUGAUGGUGGUGGGUAAGGGGGGCCACCGUAUACUGAGAUGGUGCAAUCAAUCAAAGAAGUACUUCCAUUAAAUCCAAAACUAAAAAAUGCUCAAAUGGGGCUCAGAGCAAGUCGUAUAAGAAAAGCACUCAAAUGAAAAAGCUAGCCCUAGAAAUUAUUAAAUGAGAGAGAGGGAGAGAGAGAGUGACUUGUCUUGGGAUGGCAAAGAAAAAGGAAGAAGAAUUAUGAACAAUUGUGAGGCUGCUGGGGCCGAGAAUAAUUGCAAAACGAGUCAAGCAUGCACGAAUAAAGCAGUCUGAAUUUGCAGAGCUUACUUCAAAUAAAAAUCAUUAAAAUUACCCAUUUCAAAUAAUUCCCAUGCAAAUCUAGAGGAUACCAUGAAUUACAUCCCUUUCAAAAUUUCUCUCUCGUUCCUUGUACCUUAAAUUGGAAGAAAGAGUCAUUUAACCUAACGGUAAAAGAAAAAAAAAAGUUACUGAAAUGGUUUGUUGUUGGAGGAAGUGAAACGAAGAAAGAGUUGAUCAUAAUAUAAAUGUAUGUCAUUCCCUUUUUGUACAUACAUGACAAAUAAUUAUUUUACUUGCUUUUGAUCAACAAGUUAAUAGAUGCUUUUAUCUCUCACGUCUUUCACUUCUUUUCUUAUGUACUUUUUAUUUAUUGUUAUUCUUCUUUUUUCUAGAAUGAUUAACUUGAAAAGCUUACCGAUAAUUUUUAUGCUCUUUCGAUAUUUUCAUGCUUCUCGAGUUAAAAAUGAAUAAGAGCAUUAACUACGUAAUAUUUGAGAAGAAAAUUAACACUAAAGUAUGAAUAUUAUCAAAUUAAUAUAAAAGUGGAGGAUAUAAAAUGUGAAUUUUAUCAAUAGAUCCUGUCGUCUAUAAAAAUCACAUGUAAUAUUGAAGAUCCUUCUGAAUGAAUAUAAUUAACACCAUUAUUUCACAUCUAUACGACAAGAAUCAUAGUCAUUGUGAUGUGGAUGUUAGUUUGUAAAUUUAUCAAGUUAAAAAUAAGAGGUCCGAGGUUCAAAUUUUCACAAGAUUGAGGGGAGAUUUUUUAGUUAUCAUUAAGCUAAAUAUAGAAUAAAUAAAAAUAAUCAUAUUCAUUAGAGAAAUUAUUAGUUAUCCACCCUUAAGUUGCACUUAUAAAAAAUACUACAAUACUUUUAAGUUGUAUCAUUCAUCCACUCUAAAUUUACAAUCAGUAUCAUUCAUCCGCCAAAUUGUUAGCUUCCAUUAAAAAGUGAUGAUGUCCCAAGAAUAAUUUAGAUAUAUAACAUGCUAAAUAAAAAAUAAAGGAGAAAUUAUCGGUCAUCUACCUAAAGUUAACCUUGUUAUUAAAAAUAGUACAAAAGUUUGAAUUUGUUCAAUUUGUCACUCUAAGUUUGUAAUUUGUAUCAAUUGUCCGCCAAAACAUUAACGGUUGAUUAUAAUUAAUGAUGUCAUAAUGGUAAUUUAGACAUUUAACUUGCUAAAAACAAACAAGACAAUAGUUUUAAAUAUUAAAAAAAUAGUUUUUAUAACCAAUAUACAAUUAAAUGUAGUUAAAACUCUAUUUUCCUUAAUCUAAAAAAAAAUCUAAUUGGUCUUCUUAAUUUAUCUUCACAAAUUUACAAAAUCAAAAUGAAUCCACAAGUCAGCCUAAACCCUAAUUCAUAAACACCAAUCAAUUCAAUCCUUAAAUUCGAUUUCAUAAUUAAAAAAGAUAAAUUUUAUUUGAUUAUUUAUGGUGCAAAGUCAAAAAUGCUCUUGAAUUCAAGGGUAAAAUGACCAGUUUACUUAAAUUAUGAUAAAUAUUCUAACAAUGUUAAUUUUUUGUUGAAUGGUUGAUAUAAAUUAUAAACUUAGGAUGGAAAAUCCAAUAAAUUCAAAUAUUUCUAACAUUUUGUGUAACAGGAUAAACUUAGGGUAUGACGGAUAAUUUCCCUGUAUUUUUAUAUUAAAUUGAUUGUCAAGGCAAAAAUGGUCAAUUUGCAACAAUUUUGUUAAUUUUAUAAUGGCAACUAACGAUUUGGUUGAUGAAUGAUACUAAUUGUACAUUUAGGAUAGAUGAAUAAUACAACUUGAAAGUGUUGUAGUGUUUUUUUAUAACAAAAUAAUUUAAGGGUAUAUAGUUGAUAAUUUUCAUGUUCAAUAUGAUAUAUAAAAGUGAUAAUUAUAAUGGCCAUUAUGAAUUAUAAAAUAGGCAAAAAUUGUUAGAAUAAUAACCUUUUGGUGAAAAUCAUCACCUAUAAUUCAGGAAACAUUUAUGUUGUAUCACUAAGAAUCAACAAACGAAUAUACGAAAGUGCACCUAAAUCCAUAAUGCUUUAACUGCUCUUUGGAGUAGUAUGAUUUGUCUUUCAGAUCAACACGUUCUCUUAGAUAAUCCUUUAAGUUUCUCUGUGCUCUCUCUAAUGAUGGGAUGUCAGAAAGAAUAAAACGAUAUGUGUGACUUGGAGACCAUAACCAUUUAUACAGACAACUUUUCAUGUUAUCUUUUGGUAUUUCUAUUACAACCCAUCAUAGAAAUAGAGAUUACUCUUAAGUCUAUUAAAGGCAUCAUAUUAGAUACAUUAAAGCGCAUAUUACCGAAAACUUUAAUAGAUCAUUUUUAAUUAGCCUUAACCUUAAAUGACAGUCUGCAACACAUAAUUAUUCACAUACAAGCCCAGCGUUGGAUUAAAGAUCCAACAAAAAUCUCCAAAAAGAAAAAUUAUCCAGUUACUUUUAUAUCUUUAUGUUGUUGUACAUGUUGAAUUUUUAAACCACAUUAAAUAAUAAGAGUGAUAAUUAAUUUCUCUAUAUUGUUGUAUAAAUUGAUUCACUAUACUGUAGCUAUAGCCCUCUAGCUCAAAUUGAACAUAUACUGUAGGUAUAGUGACGAAUCAGCAUCUCAAACAUGGUACUUCUGCACUAAAUAAGGGCUGUCCUAAUAUAUAUACUGUAUAUAUAUAAUCUAAUAAUCUAUAUUCUUUGAUGUUGAUGAAGAAAGAAAUAAAAGCAAUGGAUAAAAGAAAAAGGAGAGAGUGUAAGUUGUACUUUUGUUAGCUAGCUAUCCAUAGAAUUAAGAGAAAGAAAUGGAGGAUGAUUGCAAUUGUAUCUUCUCCAUUUGUACAACAAUCCGGCUAAUGGCUAUUAGCAUUUUUACUUUCUUCAGGACCACAUUGCUGCAGAAUCCCUGUAACAGAUAUAAAACAGCCAACAACUAUAAAGAACCAACACCAACUACUGGUACCUGGUCCCUGGUCCCUGAGAGAGAGAAAUCAAAGCCACGAUCAUUUCCUUCGGAAAUUAAAGGAGAGAAAAUUACCAUUUUUCUUUUUAACUAACGUGGGUUGUUGGCUGAUUGAUGGACACAAGUACAUGUCAUAAACUAUUAGAGUUUGAGAGGAAGAAGUCGGAUGUUUACAGAAAAAAGAGUGUUAUGCUCCUUCGCUUUCAAAAAUAAAAAAUAAUAAUUUUAAUAAUUGAUAAUAUGAAAUCGUGAAAGGUGCUUCUUUUUGGAUUUAUUCUCAUAUAACAAAACAAUAAAAUAUGCAUGCAUACAUUUGGCUGAUGAUCAUGAGAUGAUUGUGAUGAUAAUAAUUGUUGAUCAUUUAUGCUUACUUUAUCUACAUUACUUUUGUUACUUAUAUAUCAAACCUAUCUAUAUUCAACGUCUUGUCUUGCUUGUUCAAUUAGCUAGUUAUUCGUUGUUUACAUGUCAAAUUUACUUUUGAGCAGAAGUAAAUUUUAUGAUGGUCAAAGUAAACUAGCAAUAUAUAAAAAUGUAAAUAUAUAAUGAAAAUUUCAAUUGGCACUUAGUCUUUUGUUUGGCCAUCAAGUCCAAAUCUUAGUAAAGAAAGGGAUUAAAAAUUUUGAUUUAAAUCUUGUUCACCUCUGAUCACCUUAUAAAUUAAAAAUAAAAAAAAUAAUUAAAAAAAUCAUACUACGGUGAAAAUCUAAAAUAAAUAAAAAAAUUAUGUCAUUAUGUUGCAUAGAAACCCAUACACGUACAUAUGUUGGGUAGGAGUCAUAUAAUAAAAUCAUGAAAAAUGUAGACGUGGGGGAGUUUCAAUUUCCACACCUAAACUAAGCCACAUUAUUUAUUAUUGAUGUAAAUGUUUUGCCGUUCAAUGUCUUUCCUAUGAGCUGUGACCUCAUUGAAUUGAUAACGGGCUCUUCUACUUACACCAUAAUAAGUACUAGAGAGAACCUGUGUUGUGUCAUAAUAAAGGAGAAAAUUGCCCGCAUUAAUAUUUGAAAACAGUGUGAGAAUAACGUUAUUUAUUUGUCGAUAGCUCACAAAUUUACAUAAUUUGCUAGAAUUAUCUAAUAAUACUUAAGCAUUUCAUGACCUCAUAAUUAGCACGUCUUUAUUGUUUGAUAUUAAUUUUAAUAUAUUGCCCUAAGAUUGAAUGGUUUUCAAGUAAUUUUAUUUGGUUGGUCACCCAAGUUCAAAUUUUUUUUAAAAAAAUAAAGAAUUAAAAAAUAAAUUUAAGUAAAACUGAAAAUUAAGGAAAAAAAUCCUCCAUUUCUUUUAAUCAUAUCUAAUGUUUCAAAUGGAAAAAAAAAAAAAUUUGUUAACGAUACGAGUAACGGUAUGAUCAUUUGGUUAAUUAAUGUCAAUAAUGUUGUUUUUGUUAUUAUCAUACAAUUAAAAGUACAAUUAAUUUUUCGAAUGAUACAUGAUAAUGUCUAGAUGGGUGCUUUAAUUAAUUAGUUCUUGUAAUGAUUGUUUUAAUUGGUAUUGCAACGACAUAAACCAUUCCUCUCCAUAUCAAUUCUGCGCAAAAUUGAAAUUUUAUGAACAUAAAUAAAAAAUUUUAUUAGUUGAAUCAAGUAGCACUCAAUACAAAUAACUACGCUCACUUGAUUCUCAUAAUAUCUUGAUUUUUGAAGGAUUAUCAGAAUAUUUAUUCAAUAAAAUUUGGUCAUAUUCCAUUUAUUUAAAGCCAGUCAAUCAUCAAAAUAGAUUAACGUACUAAUCAAUCAUAAGCUGGAGUUUGUUCAGAUAAAAGCUCAUAUCAUUUAGACCAUUCAAGUUGUACAUAAACAUGAUUUUUCUAAUUCUUAGCAUGGUGAGACAGUCUUAAAUAUUUCGUUCAUUCUAUAAUUUCAUUAUCAAAUUCUUGUCACAUGUACCUCUUAACAAAGUAUCUAAAAAUAAGAAUGAAUACGCAUGUUACAAUUAAUCCAAUAUCCACCAAAAUAGCACCCAAAAUUUUGUGAUAGCAAAAUUGAGGGGG